rnacentral:rRNA from 1 species
CCUACGGGAGACAGCAGUGAGGAAUAUUGGUCAAUGGGCGUAAGCCUGAACCAGCCAAGUCGCGUGAGGGAUGAAGGUUCUAUGGAUCGUAAACCUCUUUUAUAAGGGAAUAAAGUGUGGGAUGUGUCCUAUUUUGUAUGUACCUUAUGAAUAAGGAUCGGCUAACUCCGUGCCAGCAGCCGCGGUAAUACGGAGGAUCCGAGUGUUAUCCGGAUUUAUUGGGUUUAAAGGGUGCGUAGGCGGCCUUUUAAGUCCGCGGUGAAAGUCUGUGGCUCAACCAUAGAAUUGCCGUUGAAACUGGGGGGCUUGAGUGUGUUAGAGGCAGGCGGAAUGCGUGGUGUAGCGGUGAAAUGCUUAGAUAUCACGCAGAACCCCGAUUGCGAAGGCAGCCUGCCAGGGCAUGACUGACGCUGAUGCACGAAAGCGUGGGGAUCAAACAGGAUUAGAUACCCGUGUAGUC